GCUCCCAUGGCGUAGUGGUCACUGCUUCGCCUUGCACGCGGGAGACCCGGGUUCGAUUCCCGGCGGGGUCA
rnacentral:tRNA from 1 species